AUGCCUCAUCAAGCAAGUGAACUGGAGACAUUGGAGAGUAUAUUGAUUAACACAAGUGCAGAGCCGGCUAAGCUAACAUAUGCACUUAUAAAAUCCAUAGCAAGAAACUUCUCUCAAGAGAUUGGCCAUGGAAGGUUUGGAGUUGUUUACCUGGGAGUUCUCCAAAACAGGAAUGUUGCUGUGAAGAAGCUUUCCUCACUGCAGGGAUUUUCUGAUGAGCUAUUUGCAGAUGAGAUUAAAAGUCUAAUGAUGGCAAAGCACAACAAUAUAGUAAGAUUUCUUGGCUAUUGUUCAGAUACGCAAGAGGAACUGUCAGAAAUCAAUGGAAGAUAUAUUAUGGCAGAAGUACCACAAAAGUUUCUCUGUUUUGAGUAUGUAGCUAAUGGAAGCCUUCAACGCUAUCUUACAGAGAAAUCCCAUGUAGACCAAUGGCAGAUCCGCUACAACAUUAUUAAGGGGAUAUGUCAAGGUAUCAAUUAUCUUCACAAGGAAAACAUAAUUCAUUUGGAUCUCAAACCAGAGAAUGUUCUGCUCGAUGCUCACAUGGAGCCAAAACUUAUGGACUUUGGUUUAUCUAGAUGCUUCGAUGAAGGACAAUCUAGAAUUAUAACUAAAUUUAUUAAUGGAGCACAGUUAUUCAUGGCACCAGAAACGAUAGAGACUGGAGAAAUGUCAUUUAAGUCGGACGUAUUCAGUUUGGGCAUAAUAAUAAUAAAACUACUACUCGGGGAUAACACCCAUGAUAUGAAAGAUUGGGAUAAAUCGCUAAAGGUGGACAACCCACAAGUGAAGAUAUGCGCCAAGAUUGCACAAGCUUGUGUGGAUGCAUACCCAUGUAAUAGGCCUAAUUUAGCUCACAUAAUUCAUCUUUUAAAUGCAUUAGAGAGCACGAUUCAAGGGGUAUCUCCGGUUGUUCAAGAAUCAACAGUUGGUCCAGGAUAUUCUUUAUAUCAGGUAUACAUCAUCAUUCAAUACACGGACACACAUAUACGACCGUGUAUGUUUUGGAUCCUACACAUGGAUUUCAAUUUUCCAUACAUUCCUACCUGUUUUUUUUUCAAGCUCAAUUUCCUACCUGUUUAG
rnacentral:rRNA from 1 species